CUACAUAGCAGCAUUUUUUUAGGGGUGUCGCUAUUAUUUUAUUGAGGUUUUAUCAUUAUCGAGGUUGUAUCGCUCUCACGUGUAUUGUACUCUCAUGCCGCAGCCUCGCGGUGGGCGUCGGAACGAGAGCCGGUGUCUCCCGCCGCCAUUCCCCGCGAAGCUCCCCCGCCGACGACGACGUCGCCCCGCCAGCCAACCGUGCUCAUCUGUCGCUAUGACGAUAGCAACAGCUGCUCGUCGAAGAGCCACGGGUCGAGCUCGAGCCACGGUCCGAAGUCGACAAGCUCUCAGGACAAUGCGCAGGAGCCGUAUCGACCUGUGAAGGCCGCGAGGACGCCACAGUGUCGGCUGAGCGUGCCCGCGGCGGCGACCCAGGACGGCGGCGGAGUGGGAGACUCGAGUUCGGGGUCGGACGUCGAGGCGCUGAGGCAGGCGCGGCGAUCCGCGACGCAGCACAGGUUACGCAAGACGAAGUCUCGAGGAAAGGGCAAGGGCAGGCACGCCGCUUUGCUGUCUGACGUGGACCUCGCAGCUCUGAGGUUCUGCUCAACGGACAGCGAACCCGAACUGAGCUCACGACGACGUCAGCAUCCUUCCAGCGCUGAGGAGACGACGACGCUGUAGACGAGCCGUCGCCAUGACGACGCUGUAGACGAGCCGUCGCCGUGACGACACGGGCAUCCGUCGACAAUCACUCUGCAGGGUAACCGUGGUAACGCUGGAUGAUGCAGUCGGUUGGUCACCGGGCUUGCAGGGUAACCGUGGUAAUGCUGAAUGAUGCAGUCUGUCACCGAACACGCUUGGUCACCGUGGUAACGCAAGGUGAACAGUGGCGGGUAACGUGAAAAGUGGCGCAUGACAGCUUAAACACAGGGUCACUAUAAUAUGGGUAAUGCAGGGAGCUGUGUGCGGCAUCCAAGCCGCAAACGUACGCAAAUCUCAUCAACGUCUGAAAACUCACUUCUAAACAUAUCUACUGCCUUACGAUAGAUAUACCAUCUAAUAAAAGUUAUGUACUACUUUAAUUCUCUGUAUACUAUAUCAUAGUAUGAGAGAGGUCAUGCCUGGCUGUGUAUAGGGACACUGACAGUGGACAUUGGUCAGGUAUUGUUAUCAAUUUUCCCGUCUUCCAUGCGACAUCACAGGUGUGGACUAACCCACCAUCACUGUAAGCUGUCCAACACACAAAGCUUGCCAACGUCUGCAAGCAAGAUCGGGGUGGUGUGUGAGCAACGGGGGUUUUAUCUCGAUUGUGAGUCGCUCUGACAAUCAUAAAACGAUCGUAGAAUUGCUGCGAUCGGCGUGUAAAAAUUGUUAGAACUCUCUGUGCAAUCUCUCUUGACAUGAUCGAGUAAUGAGUUUUACGAAUUUCAUUUUGUUCUGUUUAUACAACACUGUUUUUUUUAUUUUAUAUGUGUAGUGUGCAGAUAAGAAUGUCACAUGAAUGUCUACGUGCUUGCAUCUGCUAUGGUGGGGCGGGGACGUUUUUGGUGGAAACGUGGUAAUGGAACAUGAAUAUAUUGUACUGGUUGAUAAAAACUUAGGUUGUGUACGUUCGUUGUGUAUAAUCGUGGAUUUCCUAUCCAUAUCAAAUAUGGCACCUUUUAUAUGUAGAUUUAAGUGCACAGUUUCUGAAACUAAACUUGUCGAUGGUUUUUUCCCGAGAGUUUUUGUAACUUAUCGGAUGUUGUGUUGUGUUAUGAUCGUAAUUUGAUACCAUUUUGUAUAAAAUCAAUUGAUGUAAAGUGAGCACUGCGUUUAUAGCAAUGGGUGGUGGAUUUUUGUUUCGGUGUUUUUUAUUUUGUCGUUCACUGCCGUGUGUUAUUGCUGACAAUGCGUCACAUUUUGGGUGAUGCAGAAGUUUAGCCAUUUAGCAGUGUGACCUUAUAGUUUGAAUUUGUGACGAAGUUUUUUUAAAAGGAUUUUUGACAGGCUCAAGUGGUGAUCUAUAAGUGUUUGAAACCUCUACGAAAGUGUGUACACCGUGCCUUAGCUUAUGUGAUUUCGGCCUUUAUAGAAAGAAAGCCCUUUUAUAGAAUUCGUAAAAAUGGUCAGAUUAUUUUAUAAUACUUUGAGAUGCAUACUAAUCUUGUAAAUUUUAUUGAGACAUGGUUUCUGAAUUACGUUUACAAAAUCGAAAUAUAGUCAACAAGACGUUUAGUGUUGACGUCUUAGGAUUUUUUUACGUAGAGAAUUCGUCGGUGAAUCUCAAUAGUAAGUUCAUGUUAUUGCAAGUAUAGGUACGUAUAUACAUUGGGCGUGUGCAAGCGUUUGAAAUCGAGGAGGGCAUGUGCUCAAUCAUCCACCGAUGACGUGUACACAUAUUUACGCGUGUCAUCUAUGGGGCGACAUCUGUCGAUGCUUUCUGUAAACGUAUCACUUCGUUAGACACGUACGCGAGUCGUUUGCUACGAGGAUUUUACAUUCAGCUCAUCGUCGUUGUGUUUAUGAGAUUAUAUAUAUUUGUGUAGUGAUAAUUUGCGUGCAGAGACUUUACGUGAGGCGUCUAACCGUUGUCUGUAUGAGAUUAUACAUGUGCAGUGAUCAUUUGGCGGCUAUUCUGUGUGUGUGUCCUCGUAUCGGCCGAUCCAUUCUCCACGAUAAAGCAUUGUUAGAAUACAUGGUGCACGUACUCCUUACCGUUGCGUACCCGGCGAGUAAUUAUUAAUCGAGUAAUUAAGUAUUAAUUAAGUAUAUCGAGAAAGUUAAUUAGGGCAUGCCCGUGGUCUGGUGGGCCAGGGAGAGAGUAACCCGAUUUAUGUUACGAUACAAACGUAAAAUAAAAUGCACGCGGUAUUUCGAUGCAUUACCGUUUCUUGGCGCUAGAGGGAGAUGUGUGGCGUUAAAACAAGAGGGUAUCACUUCCGUUCACGUGAAUCAAGACGGUUCCGUACCCUGGUGUACAAUAUUCAAUUUCAUAUCUGAUCUCAGCUGAACGUAAGUGUUUACGAACCAGGGUAAUGUGAAUUUCACUGCGGCGGUGGUGGUUGGUCUGCGAAAUAUACUGAAUCAUGCGCGAGCGGAUACCAAAUUAUUUCUAGGCGGGACAGAUGAAUUAAGUUCGCUUCUAACGUCGCGUUCUAGGGUCGCAGUAAUCAUGUUCGUUUAUGAAACGUGGAAGAUUAUGGUGACAGUUAUUAUAUUUUAGGAAUUAAUUGGCUGUCUCCAUUAGCGAUGCACCGUGUCACCGCACGCACGCCACGGUGCAUAAACUCACAAAGAUAGAAAACACUGUCUGUUUGUCUGUGACGUCUGUGAUGUCUUUCUGUGAGUAUAUGUACAGUGGCGUCCGUGCGGUGACAUUGUGUGUCGUAGCGGAGCGUUUGAACGACUUUUACGUGUAGUGGAAUUAUAACUAAUAAUAGGCGAAACAGAAUAGAGAAACAUGAGACUUUGGUAGUAAAUACAGUUCGUGUUCGUUUACUAUCAUUUUUAUAUUGGAAAUGCCUAAUAUAAGUGCCUAUUGGCAUUACAGUACAGGUGCUUGUGGGCGCUACAAUGGCCCCAUUCCCCACUGCACAAUCCUUCACCUGGAUAUUUACCUGGAUGCCACCUGUCUUCAUGACAAGUGGCUAGGGGGGUAAUAAGCGUACGCUCAUAUAAAACGUCAACACUUAUUUGGUGAAAUCAUGAAAAAACACGAAUCAAAUUUUAUAUGAGUGAGUGUUCGUAGUAGUCAAAUCGCGCGUUCGGCAUGGCUCACACACAGCUGCGUAAAAUUGCGUGUUAUGUCAGGUGUGUAUAUAAUAUAGAUAAUAUAUGUCUAUCAUACACUCCUGUUGUUGGUAGGAAGCGCCUUCCUCUCUCCCUCUCUGUUAAUACCGUAUACAUCAUUUGUUUAAUCGUGGAUCUCAAGUCUUCCCUCAUGCUUCAUAUCAAGAGCUAAUAAUACCUCGUAAUAAUAAUAAUACCUAAUAGUAGGUAUUAUGAGCUUUUGUUCAUAUGAUUAUGUUGAAAAGAGUGCAAUGCUGUGCAGUCCGCCGAGUAAAUUGUUGUUUGUACUGUCGAUUGUGAUGAAGAUUUUAUGUUCUCCCGGAACGCAAAAUACACUGGUUAGUAUGAUGGUCUGAUGAUUGGUUCCAACUGUUCAUACGACCAUUCUGUUCGCGAUGUUCUGUGUGUAUACCAUGUAAGCUUUUGUUGGGGAAAUGUUUCCAACUUGUAAUGUAUAUUGUUCUCGUUCUCUGAUCAACAGUCUCAGUAAGUUAACCGAACUUUACGUGUACUCGAACAUUUUUGUCAUUUUUAUACAUUAUCCUGAAUGGAAAUACUAACGCAUAGUUUAUUUUAGUGAAUAAAAUAAAUUUAAAAUUU